ACGCUCGACACCUACGGGAGGUAGCAGUGGGGAAUAUUGCACAAUGGGGGAAACCCUGAUGCAGCGACGCCGCGUGAGCGAAGAAGUAUUUCGGUAUGUAAAGCUCUAUCAGCAGGGAAGAAACUGACGGCACCUGACUAAGAAGCACCGGCUAAAUACGUGCCACNNCGCGAGUAUNGNGGCGNGCGAGAG
rnacentral:rRNA from 1 species